rnacentral:rRNA from 1 species
CCUACGGGAGGCAGCAGUGGGGAAUAUUGGGCAAUGGAGGCAACUCUGACCCAGCAACGCAGCGUGAGCGAUGAAGGUCUUCGGAUUGUAAAGCUUUUUAAGUGGGGACGUAGAAAGUGACUGUACCCGCAGAAUAAGUCUCGUCUAACUAUGUGCCAGCAGCCGCGGCAUUACGUAGGAGGCAAGCGUUAUCCGGAAUGACUGGGCGAAAGGGUGCGUAGGUGGUUUGGCAAGUUGGUAGCGUAAUCCCGGGGCUCAACCUCGGUGCUACUACCAACACUGUUAUACUUGAGUGCAGGAGAGGUGAACGGAAUUCGCGGUGUAGCGGUGAAAUGCGUAGAUAUAAGGAAGAACUCCAGCGGCGAAGGCGAUUCACUAGACUGUAACUGACACUGAGGCACGAAAGCGUGGGGAGCAAACAGGAUUAGAUACCCUGGUAGUC